UUCCCCUACGGGACGCAGCAGUGAGGAAUAUUGGUCAAUGGCCGGAAGGCUGAACCAGCCAAGCCGCGUGAAGGACGAAGGUGCCAAGCAUUGUAAACUUCUUUUGUCAAGGGACAAAAUCAGGCUCGAGAGCCUGACCGAGGGUACUUGAAGAAAAAGCAUCGGCUAACUCCGUGCCAGCAGCCGCGGUAAUACGUAGGUGGCAAGCGUUGUCCGGAUUUACUGGGUGUAAAGGGCGUGCAGCCGGGCUGACAAGUCAGAUGUGAAAUCCCGCGGCUCAACCGCGGA
rnacentral:rRNA from 1 species